CGGACGGGUGAGUAAUGUCUGGGAAACUGCCCGAUGGAGGGGGAUAACUACUGGAAACGGUAGCUAAUACCGCAUAACGUCGCAAGACCAAAGAGGGGGACCUUAGGGCCUCUUGCCAUCGGAUGUGCCCAGAUGGGAUUAGCUAGUAGGUGGGGUAACGGCUCACCUAGGCGACGAUCCCUAGCUGGUCUGAGAGGAUGACCAGCCACACUGGAACUGAGGCACGGUCCAG
rnacentral:rRNA from 1 species